CGGGGCCGGGCUGCUGGGUCCGAGCUCUGGGCACGAUGUCCUCCCUGACGCCGCCAGGACAGCGCCUGGCCCAGGCCUGGGCCUGGUGAACGCGGGUUUCUUCCUCUGAGGUUCAACACUCCGCACUUGGGUUGGCUCCUUUCAUCCUGAUUGGUUUAUUCGCCACGUGCCAAGCACUGAAGAGGGCGUGCAGGAUGGAUACUUUUGGAGCAAAAAUAGCCCUGCUUCUUUCCUGGGGAGGGAUCGCACUUUCUAGAGGGGCGGUUUUCAAAGUAUGGUCUCAGGACUAGCAGCAUCGAAAAUGCUGGGAACUCGUUAGAAAAGCAAGUUUUCAAUCCUCGCCCCAGAAUCAGAAACUCGGGGUGGAGCCCAGCAAUGUGUGUCCUGACAAGUCCACGCGCGACCCCAGUGCUGGCUAGGGUUGCAAAGCCACUGCUCUACGGAGCGAGCGAGAUCCAUCAUAGUGGGACAAGCGAGAGGAUGAGGCCAUACAGACCAGGGUUUUAGCAAACCACAAGAAGCACUUCAUAAACUGGUGACUCAAGUAGAAAAGUACUGUUCCACGCACUUGACACCAAUCCACCCAUUUCACCUGCAUGAUCACCCUGCCUUUGCAUGAGUUGCCGGUGUGGACAGAGCAGGGACACAGUGAGACAGCGGAUUCCAGCUUUGCUCUUACCUAGAACACACUGCCUCUCACCAGGAAUCGUCCUUCCAUUUUAUGCAGUUAUCCCAGACAAUGAUGCACAAGCUUUGGGAAAAAAACCCCACAAGUCCAAAGGUGUACUUCAUAAUAAAGGCAAGUUAUCUGUCA
rnacentral:lncRNA from 10 species